rnacentral:misc_RNA from 1 species
GAAAUGCGAUACUUAAUGUGAAACGCAACGCAGUGUGAAUCAUCAAGGUUUCGAACGCACAUUGCGCUGCCCGGGUCUACCCGGACAGCAUGCCUGUUUGAGCAUCGUUUCAAACCUCAACCACUCUCCUCGCGCUCGCGCGAGGACGACCGUGCGUUGGACGCUGAGCGCCUCACCCGCUUCACGCGGGUGGGCCGCUUGAAAUGGAGACCCCUUUCUGGAUGCAGCGCGCUCAUGCUCGGCUGCCUCUUGUGCUGUGACGAAGCUCCGGCUUCCCCACAUUCACUCGAGUCGCAGGCGAGUUGCCGCGGCGUCAACCCAUAAAGGAAAGGACCGAGACACGAACGAAUCCGCAACCAGCGCUUGCGCCGGUUGCGCUACCAUCGCGAUCUCAAAUCAG